UAGUCCUCAUUUCCAGAUUUGUUUUGAUGGAUUCUUUUUUCUCCUGUUCCUGUUGCGUCUGAGGCUCCACUCCCUCCAAUCCUCAUUAUUGCUUUAUAGUAGGAAGGGUUAUUUAUCUCUUUUAGUUAUAAAUCUGAGUUUAUUCCUUUCUAUUGUAGUGGAUUCAGUGAUUAUUUGGCACAUUGAGUGUUUUUUAAGACUCAGAGACUAUAUCCAAUUAUUAAGGCUCAUAAAAGAUAGACUAUUCAUCUGAGUAUCUAAAAAUAACUCUCCUGGCAUCACCCAAUGCCAAAUUUCUGUCCUGAUUAUCAACGGUCUUCUGGGUAAAGGAUGUUUGGCGCAUUCACCCUACAAAUAAAGUGAUGCUAAAUCGUCUGAUUGGCUGCCUCGCAAUCAAAGACAUUCAGCGUUCCGUAGCUUCCUGUGCCGGGAAAACUGUCCACACAUGGAAAAGAGGGAUAUACAGGUGACUUUAAUCAAAUAAAAACUGAGAAGAAAUGAAUCUACUACACAUUGCAACCAUUGAAGCUUCUUCCUCAUCUCCCAUCUGCAGGAAGGACGCGUCUCGGUGCGCACCGUACCAAAAAUGGACCACAGAACGUGUCCAGUGCGUCCGCGCCGAUCCUCCGCCGCUGUGUGCGGGACAAACUGAAGGAAAACCACACCGGAGGGGGACUGCACACACACUCACUGUCCGUCCAAGAGCUCAGAAGAUAACACCGAAGCGGAGACUCGUUCCUCAGACCAACGCGAGGACAUGGACAUACUGUAGCCAGACUGGACAGAGGGGAAGGAUGUAGCUUUACACCGAGGGACAUCACAACCUGCCAGAAGGGACUAGCGGAUGUCUUCACCGGAUUGAUUAAGUGUGCUCAGCGAAGCAGAGCCGGAUAAUAUUCCCAAAGUUAAAACCGUCUGCUUCCGGCAACAACAGCCAGAGCAAACGCUCAGACGGUGUCUGGAGAGGCUUAGGAAGACUUUCGCUCCCGUCUAAGAUCUCCGGCAGUCUGCUUCACAAGUUGAUGCCUUCUGCUUUGUGAUGCGUGAACACAAAAGGGACUUCCUCUUGCAACUGUCUGAUCGGGCGUAUAUGACAUGAAUUACAAACUCCAAAAAUGUGUGUUUUAUUUCUCUUUGGAGGCGAUUUCACUCAUCAAUUAUUCAUGGGAGGCUCAGAGUCUGGAAAUAUUAAUCUGCCGCUAAAACAAGGGAUUGUGUUUGUUGUGUUGCACAUUAAUAUUUGAACAUUUGUAAAGUGUACCGACAUGGCAGAAGCAUAAUAAGAGCAAAUGAUUUAUGCAAUUCUGAGUCGAUCUGAGUUUAUAGAGGAAUUAGAUUUGGGAACACAUUCUUUUUUUGCCGGCUACACUAAUCCAAAUUAAAUGAAUACUCUGAAUUCAUCUUAAUGAUCCAUUUCCACCUCAGUAGCUGAUGUGUGCAUUGACUGUAUAUGUAUGCAGAGAAGAGAAGGAAAACAAAUUACAAGAACAACAAAAAGACAAAUCCUUGCAGUUACUUUUUCAACUGCAAAUCAAAGUGUCAUCUAACUCACUAUUUGGGAAUUACAAAAACACUCAGGGGCCAUCAGGGAAAGAGAGAGAAUGGGACAGAUGGUGGGAGAAGAGAUAAUGACAGUGAGACGAUGCCAAGGACAAUAAAUCAAACAAAUAGACGACGUAACAGAAAACAAAAAGGGAAUUGAAACAGAAGGAUUAAACUAAACGUCGACCAAGGUCUUCUCAACGUCGCAUCUCUCUCUCAGCGAAGGGAUCAUCCAAUCCCAACGAAGACCUCAUUACAGAGAAGCCUCUGAUCCACGCAGCAUCAUGAAAAGUUAGAAUUGUAUCUAAAAAGUUCACAUUGUGAAAAGAAGUUAGAUUUAUGAAAAUAAUCUGAGAUUUUUAAAAGUCGAAAUUUAGAAAAAAAAAUCUGAAAUUUGAAAAAAAAUCCGUAUUUUAGGAAAAAGUCGGAAAAUUCCCAAAAAGUUAAAAUUUUGAGUUUUGAGGAUUAGGGCCACAUGAUGAAGGAGUUAGAGUAAUAAUUAGAAAAUAGUGGGACAUUUUUAAAAGUCAACAUUUGGAAAAAAGGGUCAAAUUUUUUGGGGAAAAAAUCGUACGUUUUUAAAAGAAGACAUUUAGAAAGAAAUUCUGCAAUUUGAAAAAAAGUCAGAUCUUUUAGGAGAAAAAGUGAUAAUUUUACUGAAGGAAAACGCUCCUGAGUGUUAGUUAAUUAAACUCUAUUGUACAGUUGCCUAAUUGGUACCUAGAGGCUAAUAUCGGUAGCUUCAACUUGGAAAGAUCAAGUGCGUCAAUAGCCGUUAAGAGUCCAGCGAGGGUCUAAUGGUCACUUUACUUUAACACACUGGACUGAACUGUGGAAGUUAAGUGACUCCACAGACUGUAAUGGAAAAGCUUAUUUAUUCUGCAGUAACUUUUCCAAAGCUUAAUCCCACCAAGCCUGUCCGAUUUCUGUGAUACACUUAGACCACCCUGAACUUGGGGAGAGGGUUGCAUGGAUAUAUAUGAGGUCAGAAAAAGAUAUAUGAAGAUAUAAACUCCAACAUUUGGCUGUGUUUUCGUGGCUGUCUGUGCACAUUGACAGUUUCUCUAUAGCCAAUCGUUGCAGGGGUGAAGCGAAUAUUCUCUUGGUUCAACCCCGAAGAUGUGAUUUGAUGUUCGGGCGUAGCAGAAUAAAGAUGUAUUAAUGCUAAAAUUGGCAAAUACUCACCUUCACACCUCAUUCUGUUCGCUCUGUGAUUGAUUUUUCU